UCCCUUGUGGCUCAGCUGGUAAAGAAUCUGCCUGCAAUGCAGGAGACCUGGGUUUGAUCCCUGGUUUGGGAA
rnacentral:tRNA from 1 species